rnacentral:rRNA from 1 species
CGUAGGGCGCAAGCGUUGUCCGGAAUUAUUGGGCGUAAAGAGCUCGUAGGUGGCUUGUUGCGUCUGCCGUGAAAGCCCGUGGCUUAACUGCGGGUCUGCGGUGGAUACGGGCAGGCUAGAGGCUGGUAGGGGCAAGCGGAAUUCCUGGUGUAGCGGUGAAAUGCGCAGAUAUCAGGAGGAACACCGGUGGCGAAGGCGGCUUGCUGGGCCAGUUCUGACGCUGAGGAGCGAAAGCGUGGGGAGCGAACAGGAUUAGAUACCCUGGUAGUCCACGCUGUAAACGUUGGGCGCUAGGUGUGGGGGUCUUCCACGAUUCCUGUGCCGUAGCUAACGCAUUAAGCGCCCCGCCUGGGGAGUACGGCCGCAAGGCUA